rnacentral:rRNA from 1 species
UACGUAGGAUGCAAGCGUUGUCCGGAUUUAUUGGGUUUAAAGGAUGCGUAGGCGGCCUAUUAAGUUAGUGGUGAAAACGUUCGGCUUAACCGGAUACCCGCCAUUGAUACUGAUAGACUUGAGUGCGACAGAGGGUGUUGGAAUGUGUGGUGUAGCGGUGAAAUGCUUAGAGAUCACGCAGAACACCAAUUGCGAAGGCAGAUGCCUAUGUCGUAACUGACGAUGAGGCACGAAAGCGUGGGGAGCAAACAGG